AGCAGUGGAGAUGAAGAGCUUACAUGCGGAUCCACGGGAAGUUGGAAUGGAACAGUUCCCACUUGUACCAUUCAUAACUGUGGAGGACUGGAUAACCCAAACUUCGGUGCCGUUGACAUCAGUGGGGGUACACUGUUUGGAGCUCAGGCGGCCUACACAUGUAACAACGGGUUCAAACUUGUCGGCCCUCAUGUGAUCACAUGUGCUGCAGAUGGAAACUGGGACCGAGGGCCACCAACUUGUAUCAUUUGGAACUGUGAAGAUCUGUCCUCCUUGGAGAAUGGGCGGAUAUGGUACUCCAGCACAGAGUUUGAUUCCAAUGCCCGACAUACAUGUAAUGUUGGGUAUAACAUGACGUCAGGGGAUGCGAUGAGAACGUG